rnacentral:rRNA from 1 species
CCCUUAGAUGUUCUGGGCCGCACGCGCGCUACACUGAUGCAUUCAACGAGUUUCUUCCUGGUCCGAGAGGAAUGGGUAACCUUUUGAAAGUGCAUCGUGAUAGGGAUAGACUGUUGCAAUUAUUGGUCUUCAACGAGGAAUUCCUAGUAGACGUAGUUCAUCAGACUGCAUCGAUUACGUCCCUGCCCUUUGUACACACCGCCCGUCGCUCCUACCGAUUGAAUGCUCAGGUGAGCCAUUCGGACUUUCAUCAUGCUGGUUUCCAGUUUUGAUGAAGGAAAGUCUUGCGAACCUUAUCAUUUAGAGGAAGGAGAAGUCGUAACA